rnacentral:rRNA from 1 species
UUAGGAAUCUUGGACAAUGGGCGCAAGCCUGAUCCAGCCAUGCCGCGUGAGUGAUGAAGGCCUUCGGGUUGUAAAGCUCUUUAGUCCACGAAUAUAAUGACUGUAGUGGAAGAAUAAGCCCCGGCUAACUUCGUGCCAGCAGCCGCGGUAAUACGAAGGGGGCGAGCGUUGUUCGGAAUCACUGGGCGUAAAGAGUGCGUAGGCGGUUAUGAAAGUUAGAAGUGAAAGCCCAGGGCUCAACCUUGGAAUUGCUUUUAAAACUACAUAACUCGAAUUCGGGAGAGGAUAGCGGAAUUGUCAGUGUAGCAGUGAAAUGCGUAGAUAUUGACAGGAACACCAGUGGCGUAAGCGGCUAUCUGGACCGACAUUGACGCUGAGGCACGAAAGCGUGGGGAUCAAACAGGAUUAGAUACCCCCGUAGUCC